CAUAUCGACCUAGAAAGCCGAAUUCAGUUGGCCCGUUACCAAAAACAAUAUGCUGCCCUAGUCACGUUAGACAUUUCUAAAGCAUACGAUAGUGUGGAAUAUCCUUUAUUAAUAAAAAGGAUGCAGGAUAUUGGAUUGCCAGACUACUUCGUGACGUGGACUGCAGAGUUCUUGCAGGGCAGGGAGUUUUACUGUGCACAAAGCGGAAUUUCAUCGGGAAAAUUCAGACAAACACGCGGGGUUCCUCAAGGGGCAGUUUUGUCACCGCUGCUGUUUAACAUCCUACUCAGCUCCAUUCCUCAUCAUCAAAAUGUAAGCACGUACGUUUACGCUGAUGAUAUAGCGUUUUUUGCAUCAGCAAGUGAUAUUCAGUCACUGUACGAAUGCUUGCAGAAAUACUUAUGCGAGCUAGAAGCAUGGCUGGACAGUAUUCGCUUGUCCCUUAAUGUAAAUAAGAGUGCCGUUCUUGUCUUUCCCCUACAAGACCCAGUUACUAUAUCCCUUUCAUACCGUCACUCCACUAUCCCACAAGUGGAAAAGGUCAAGUACCUUGGAAUUAUUUAUAAUGGUAAUCUUGAUUGGCGUCCGCAUAUUGAACAUAUAACUUCAAAAGCUUCUCGUGCAAUGGGGAUAUUACGAGGGAUAAGUAAUUAUCGAUGGGGCAUGCGCAGAGACACACUCAUAAUGAUUUACCGCAUGUACAUUCGACCUAUACUAGAGUUCGGUUGUGUAUUAUUCUCCGGCGCCGCGGCUUACAAGCUACGCCCACUAGUUUUGCUACAACGGGAAGCGCUUCGCUUAUGUCUGGGGCUUCCAAAGUUUGUAGCCAACGCUGUACUCUACAAGGAAGCACGAUUACCUUCCCUUGAAAUGAGAUUUAAAAUACUCACCGUUCAAGCGUUUAUAAGGCUCUAUGAAUCCCCACUAAGAAGGUCUCAGUCCAUCUUCAUCAAACAACGAGUCCAAUUUUUUGGAGUCAGAUGGCCACGGUUUCACACGCCACAAGUCAUUGUAUCGCAAUCAUUAUUGAAUCCGUUAGACGUAAAUAUAAAUGAUAUAAUCACGGAAAACAGCACCUCAAAUUCACUAGUUAUUACUUAUGAUGACCUAUACCCAAAUAAUGCAAAGCAGCUUCCCUCGCAUAUUCUUAACGGCUUACUCCAGGAUCACUUAAAUCAACUCCACACUAACGUUAUUAUAGCAACGGAUGCUUCGCAGAUUGAUGAAAAGGCAGGAGUUGGAAUCUUCUCAUCAUCAUUGGACUGGUCUUUUUCUAUUCGGCUUCCCGACUUCACUCCAAUAUACCUAGCGGAAUUCCUAGCUGUUGUCCUAGCUUUACGAAAGCUACAGUCUUCCAGGUCAACGGCGGUAAUAAUCACAGAUUCUUUGUCGCUGUGCACCUCACUUACUGCUCCCGGCGAGACACACAUAUUGAAAACUUUGAACUCACUGGCUCCAAGUCAUUUGAGAAGUUUACGAUUAAUAUGGGUACCUGGCCACAAAGGCAUAUUUAUGAAUGAGGUGGCAGACAGCUUGGCCAAGGCUUCUAUCAGCGGCCCAGUGCUUCCCCUUCUUCCAACAACGGGCUUUAUCACGUCCGCCAGGUUCAGAAGAUACAUCCUUUUAACAUCUCAAUCGAACCUCAAAUCAUCAUUGGAACUACGCCACUUACAAUUCCCUUGGAGCAGGAAGUUUUGCAAAACAAGACAAACGGAGGUUACAUUAACGAGACUACGUUGUCGAGUCCCAUCUCUAAAUUUUUACAUGCACCGAUCUGGUCUGGCAAUAUCCCCAUUGUGCCAUUUUUGCAAUGCAUUAGAGACGAUUGAGCACUACCUACUGGAAUGCCGGCGUUUCUCCUCCAUGAGGAAAAUGACAUUAGAAAUUACAGUGCGACAGCUUGGUCUGCCAUUGAACACUCCGGUACUGCUGUCUUUCGGAGCGUCUGUGCUUGGGUACUCACACAGGAAUGUGUGCUUCGCCUUAGAAAAAUUUCUUAUUGAAUCAAACCGAUUUCAUUGAUGACCAUAUUAUUCUAUUCAUUCCUCCUCUAUUGCCUCACUGAUAUAUUAAAGAUAAUUAUUUUUUUUCUCCUCUACGUAGCAUGACAAUCUACUGAACCGUUUCGAUUUUCCCUCGCCUAAAUUCAUGUAACAAAAUUUUAGAUUUUUACCUCCUUUUCUGAACACAUAAGCAAAGUCUGCCCGACUCUUGGCCAAUCCCCGCGAGUGGGUAAGCGCCAAACUCAUCAAGGACAUCAUCAUCAUCAUCACACUUGGUCAUGGCUGACUUUCGGAGCAGUUUCACGGCCGGUUUCUCGGGACUAAGCUGUGGGCACGGAGGCAACCUUGGAUUGGAAGCAGCAACCACCCGGCGGCCUUGUGGCGCAGGUUGGGGCACCGUGGGAUUUACCUGGCGCAAGGAGCUUCCCACCGGAAGCGCCUUGGUGGCUGGAGCGGUCUGCUUGCGUGAGGCAAAGCCACCGAAGGGGGAGCUCCCUACCAUCUACGGGGACGUCGGCCAUAGGGAGCGUGGCCUAUCAGCGAGAAGCACCACCGGCCGAACAGACCAGUGCAGCCAAGAAGGCCACAUGAGCCGAGACUGCCCAACUGCUCACUGUGGAGGACGACGCGGAGGCCUCAGGUGUGGCGAGGAAGGCCACAUGAGCAGAGACUGAAUGCAGACACGUGGGCCCGACACAGCGAGAUGUGGGUCGCUACGCUUCGCGUACUGCCAGAUUAUGGGUUUUGUGUGUAUUUUUUGGUUUAUUAGAUCGUUAAAUAUAAAGAAAUCUUAAGAUUUCUACUUUUUUGAUAAUUAGAAUAAUAAAUAUAUUGUUCCGCCUUCUA